ACAGGGUCUUCCUCUGUCACCUAGGCUGGAGUGCAGUGGUGCAAUCGUGACUUACUGCAGCCUCAACCUACUGGGGUCAAGUAGAUCCUCCCACCUCAUCCUCCCGAGUAGCUGGAACUACAGGAAGUUGCAGAAUUGGCUUUGGUAAAAUGUGAGAGUAAACAUAUAAAGAGGAAGACGUGGAAUCCAGGAAUGAGAUGCAAGAUAGGAGAGUGGGAAAGGAUGCCCUAGGACCACUGCUGGACCAGGUCUAAAAAGUAACCAGUGUACCGAAGGACAACAGAAUGAAGAGCCUAGAGAUAAGGUCUAUAAAUGUUGCCCAGGCUGGUCUAGAACUUCUGGCCUCAAGUGAUCUUCCCACCUCUACCUCCCAAAGUGCUGGGAUUACAGGCGUGAGCCACAGAGCACAGCCUAGUUAUAAUAAUGUUAAUACUAAGCAUUCGUUUAGCAAAUAUUGCUAUGAUGGAACUACACUGGAAGAUUGGAAACAAGAAGGCUAAUUAUAGAAUCACGGACAAGAACUGAAAGAGUUGCUGCUUGAACUUUCCACCUGAGGUCUGUGUUAGAAUUUAGGAAACGCCACCCUGAUAAAUGACUGCAAAAGACAAGAAUACACCAUCCCCAAACAUGCCACCCUGGCAUAUUGAUGACUUUGAGCUAUAAGUAACAGAACCAAACAACACAGGAUAACUUAUUCAGCUACCCCUCAACUGCCUAAAAUAAAGUAUGACUGCUUUUUUUCCUUUU